AGCGUACACGGUGGAUGCCCUGGCAGUCAGAGGCGAUGAAGGACGUGCUAAUCUGCGAUAAGCGUCGGUAAGGUGAUAUGAACCGUUAUAACCGGCGAUUUCCGAAUGGGGAAACCCAGUGUGAUUCGUCACACUAUCAUUAACUGAAUCCAUAGGUUAAUGAGGCGAACCGGGGGAACUGAAACAUCUAAGUACCCCGAGGAAAAGAAAUCAACCGAGAUUCCCCCAGUAGCGGCGAGCGAACGGGGAGCAGCCCAGAGCCUGAAUCAGUGUGUGUGUUAGUGGAAGCGUCUGGAAAGGCGCGCGAUACAGGGUGACAGCCCCGUACACAAAAAUGCACAUACUGUGAGCUCGAUGAGUAGGGCGGGACACGUGGUAUCCUGUCUGAAUAUGGGGGGACCAUCCUCCAAGGCUAAAUACUCCUGACUGACCGAUAGUGAACCAGUACCGUGAGGGAAAGGCGAAAAGAACCCCGGCGAGGGGAGUGAAAAAGAACCUGAAACCGUGUACGUACAAGCAGUGGGAGCACAGAGCAAUCUGUGUGACUGCGUACCUUUUGUAUAAUGGGUCAGCGACUUAUAUUCUGUAGCAAGGUUAACCGAAUAGGGGAGCCGAAGGGAAACCGAGUCUUAACUGGGCGUUAAGUUGCAGGGUAUAGACCCGAAACCCGGUGAUCUAGCCAUGGGCAGGUUGAAGGUUGGGUAACACUAACUGGAGGACCGAACCGACUAAUGUUGAAAAAUUAGCGGAUGACUUGUGGCUGGGGGUGAAAGGCCAAUCAAACCGGGAGAUAGCUGGUUCUCCCCGAAAGCUAUUUAGGUAGCGCCUCGUGAAUUCAUCUCCGGGGGUAGAGCACUGUUUCGGCAAGGGGGUCAUCCCGACUUACCAACCCGAUGCAAACUGCGAAUACCGGAGAAUGUUAUCACGGGAGACACACGGCGGGUGCUAACGUCCGUCGUGAAGAGGGAAACAACCCAGACCGCCAGCUAAGGUCCCAAAGUCAUGGUUAAGUGGGAAACGAUGUGGGAAGGCCCAGACAGCCAGGAUGUUGGCUUAGAAGCAGCCAUCAUUUAAAGAAAGCGUAAUAGCUCACUGGUCGAGUCGGCCUGCGCGGAAGAUGUAACGGGGCUAAACCAUGCACCGAAGCUGCGGCAGCGACGCUGAUGCGUUGUUGGGUAGGGGAGCGUUCUGUAAGCCUGUGAAGGUGUACUGUGAGGUAUGCUGGAGGUAUCAGAAGUGCGAAUGCUGACAUAAGUAACGAUAAAGCGGGUGAAAAGCCCGCUCGCCGGAAGACCAAGGGUUCCUGUCCAACGUUAAUCGGGGCAGGGUGAGUCGACCCCUAAGGCGAGGCCGAAAGGCGUAGUCGAUGGGAAACAGGUUAAUAUUCCUGUACUUGGUGUUACUGCGAAGGGGGGACGGAGAAGGCUAUGUUGGCCGGGCGACGGUUGUCCCGGUUUAAGCGUGUAGGCUGGUUUUCCAGGCAAAUCCGGAAAAUCAAGGCUGAGGCGUGAUGACGAGGCACUACGGUGCUGAAGCAACAAAUGCCCUGCUUCCAGGAAAAGCCUCUAAGCAUCAGGUAACAUCAAAUCGUACCCCAAACCGACACAGGUGGUCAGGUAGAGAAUACCAAGGCGCUUGAGAGAACUCGGGUGAAGGAACUAGGCAAAAUGGUGCCGUAACUUCGGGAGAAGGCACGCUGAUAUGUAGGUGAAGCGACUUGCUCGUGGAGCUGAAAUCAGUCGAAGAUACCAGCUGGCUGCAACUGUUUAUUAAAAACACAGCACUGUGCAAACACGAAAGUGGACGUAUACGGUGUGACGCCUGCCCGGUGCCGGAAGGUUAAUUGAUGGGGUUAGCGCAAGCGAAGCUCUUGAUCGAAGCCCCGGUAAACGGCGGCCGUAACUAUAACGGUCCUAAGGUAGCGAAAUUCCUUGUCGGGUAAGUUCCGACCUGCACGAAUGGCGUAAUGAUGGCCAGGCUGUCUCCACCCGAGACUCAGUGAAAUUGAACUCGCUGUGAAGAUGCAGUGUACCCGCGGCAAGACGGAAAGACCCCGUGAACCUUUACUAUAGCUUGACACUGAACAUUGAGCCUUGAUGUGUAGGAUAGGUGGGAGGCUUUGAAGUGUGGACGCCAGUCUGCAUGGAGCCGACCUUGAAAUACCACCCUUUAAUGUUUGAUGUUCUAACGUUGACCCGUAAUCCGGGUUGCGGACAGUGUCUGGUGGGUAGUUUGACUGGGGCGGUCUCCUCCUAAAGAGUAACGGAGGAGCACGAAGGUUGGCUAAUCCUGGUCGGACAUCAGGAGGUUAGUGCAAUGGCAUAAGCCAGCUUGACUGCGAGCGUGACGGCGCGAGCAGGUGCGAAAGCAGGUCAUAGUGAUCCGGUGGUUCUGAAUGGAAGGGCCAUCGCUCAACGGAUAAAAGGUACUCCGGGGAUAACAGGCUGAUACCGCCCAAGAGUUCAUAUCGACGGCGGUGUUUGGCACCUCGAUGUCGGCUCAUCACAUCCUGGGGCUGAAGUAGGUCCCAAGGGUAUGGCUGUUCGCCAUUUAAAGUGGUACGCGAGCUGGGUUUAGAACGUCGUGAGACAGUUCGGUCCCUAUCUGCCGUGGGCGCUGGAGAACUGAGGGGGGCUGCUCCUAGUACGAGAGGACCGGAGUGGACGCAUCACUGGUGUUCGGGUUGUCAUGCCAAUGGCACUGCCCGGUAGCUAAAUGCGGAAGAGAUAAGUGCUGAAAGCAUCUAAGCACGAAACUUGCCCCGAGAUGAGUUCUCCCUGACUCCUUGA
rnacentral:rRNA from 1 species